rnacentral:rRNA from 1 species
GACGUAGGGCGCGAGCGUUGUCCGGAAUUAUUGGGCGUAAAGAGCUCGUAGGCGGCUUGUCACGUCGGAUGUGAAAGCCCGGGGCUUAACUCCGGGUCUGCAUUCGAUACGGGCUGGCUAGAGUGUGGUAGGGGAGAUCGGAAUUCCUGGUGUAGCGGUGAAAUGCGCAGAUAUCAGGAGGAACACCGGUGGCGAAGGCGGAUCUCUGGGCCAUUACUGACGCUGAGGAGCGAAAGCGUGGGGAGCGAACAGG